AGCUCGGUGGCGUAGUUGGCUAGAGCGCGCGAUGGCAAGCGUGACUAGAAAUCUAUCUGUCAUAGCUGCGGGUUCGAAUCCCGUUCCGGUAU